UGUAAAGUUCAAGCUCCGAUAUGUGAGGGCGAAACCGCGAAUGGCUCAUUAAAUCAGUCAUAAUCUACUUGAUUGUUAGAGGUUAUAUGGAUAACUGUGGUAAUUCUAGAGCUAAUACAUGCCGAGGAGGGUGACUUGGUUGUGGCAACACAGUCAAGAAGCCCCGCGUUUAUUAGACUAAGACCAAUGUGCUUCGGCACUAAUUUUUGGUGACUCUGAGUAAAUAACGGGUGUAAGCCCGUGCAGCCGACCUGGCACUCAACUCCGCAAGGAGGCCAGGCGAAUCAAUCGAGUGUCUGCUCUAUCAACUGUGGAUGGUAGGGUAAUUGCCUACCAUGGUGAUGACGGGUAACGGGGAGUUAGGGCUCGACUCCGGAGAACAAGCCUGAGAAACGGCUAGUAGGACUAAGGUCUGCAGCAGGCGCGAAACUUACACAAUGCUAGAUUAUAAGUUAGCGAUGUAGUGAAGAAAAAUAACGAUGUGCUUGCAUUUAAACAUGCUUGCACAAUUGGAAUGAGACGACUCUAAACCGGUCAGUCGAGUAACAAAUGGAGGGCAAGUCUGGUGCCAGCAGCCGCGGUAAUUCCAGCUCCAUUAGCAUACAUUAAAGUUGUUGCGGUUAAAAAGCUCGUAGUUGAAUGUAGUGGUUGUUGUGUUGGUGGGUUGGCGUUAAGCGGACUUCGGUUCGUGUCAGCCUCACGAACAGAGCAGCUAGUUUCGUCACUUAAUCGAGUGCGAAGCGGGGUGGGUUAGCAUACUUCGGUAUGCCAGUUCACCAAGUUUACCUUGAGAAAAUCAGAGUGCUCAGAGCAGGCAGUUGGGGCCUAAAAACCUCUUUAUGCUUGAAUGAUGUUGCAUGGAAUAAUAGAAUACGGCCUCGGUUCUAUUCUGUUGGUCUUAUAGAACAACAAACAAGUUGGUGUUGUCACUAACGUUGCUGGCUGGUGUGUCCUGGCUGGACUUGUUGUCUGCGGGUAAAACCGCAGUACCAACCAGCCUUGACGCAAAAAGCAUCAACCAGCGGCAGACAAUCCACCAACUGAGGCAAUGGUUAAAAGAAAUAGUCGCGGCGGCAUCAGUACUGCAUCGUGAGAGGUGAAAUUCUUAGACCGAUGCAAGACUAACUGAAGCGAAAGCGUUUGCCGAGGAUAUUUUCAUUAAUCAAGAACGAAAGUUAGAGGUUCGAAGGCGAUCAGAUACCGCCCUAGUUCUAACCAUAAACGUUGCCAACUAGCAAUUGGGUUGCGAUUCCUUUAGUGGGCGCCUAAAAAACGUCCACCAUUAUGAUCCACCCAGCGGCUCUCGUAGGGAAACCAAAGUGUUUGGGUUCCGGGGGAAGUAUGAUUGCAAAGUUGAAACUUAAAGGAAUUGACGGAAGGGCACCACCAGGAGUGGAGCCUGCGGCUUAAUUUGACUCAACACGGGGAAACUUACUAGAUUAGAACUCUGGAAUGAUUGACAGAUUGAUAGCUCUUUCUUGAUUCAGAGGAUGGUGGUGCAUGGCCGUUCUUGAUUCGUAUUCCGAAACGUCUGCUUAAUUGCGAUAACGAGUGAGACCUCACCCAACUAACUAGUGCGCGGUUGCGAUGUUGGGGCACUAAAGGUGUAGGUGGGUUUUGUGUCGGUUGGUGGCAACAUCGGCUGGCAUGCCGCUUGCAUCGCUCUCUUCUCGACCCGUGACUUCUUAGAGGGAUAAACGGUGUUUUAGCCGUAAGAAACGAGGCAAUAACAGGUCUGUGAUGCCCUUAGAUAUUCUAGGCCGCACGCGUGCUACAAUGGCGUGUGCAGAGAGCUUGUUCGAGGUUCGUCCGGAGAGAACUAGUGGUUUGGGUUCAGGCGGGGCAACUCGUUUGGGCUCGACCGCCAAGUGACUCCGGUUAGCGGGCCGAGAGAAACCGCGGCCGAAAGGUCGCGGCAAUCAGAAAUACACGCCGUGAUUUGGGAUUGGGGAUUGCAAUUGUUGCCCAUGAACGAGGAAUUCCCAGUAAGCGCGAUUCAUCAUAUCGCGUUGAUUACGUCCCUGCCCUUUGUACACACCGCCCGUCGCUACUACCGAUUGGAAGUUUUAGUGAGGCAUCUGGACUCGCCGGCCACGGGAGGAGCAAUCCUCCUCGGCCUGGAGGGGAAGUUUGUCGAACUCAAAUUUCUAGAGGAAGUAAAAGUCGUAACAAGGUUUCCGU
rnacentral:rRNA from 1 species